rnacentral:rRNA from 1 species
UACGUAGGGUCCGAGCGUUGCCCGGAAUUACUGGGCGUAAAGAGCUCGUAGGUGGUUUGUCGCGUUGUCCGUGAAAACUCACAGCUCAACUGUGGGCGUGCGGGCGAUACGGGCAGACUGGAGUACUGCAGGGGAGACUGGAAUUCCUGGUGUAGCGGUGGAAUGCGCAGAUAUCAGGAGGAACACCGGUGGCGAAGGCGGGUCUCUGGGCAGUAACUGACGCUGAGGAGCGAAAGCGUGGGGAGCGAACAGG